rnacentral:rRNA from 1 species
GACGAACGCUGGCGGCGUGCCUAAUACAUGCAAGUAGAACGCUGAAGGAGGAGCUUGCUUCUCUGGAUGAGUUGCGAACGGGUGAGUAACGCGUAGGUAACCUGCCUGGUAGCGGGGGAUAACUAUUGGAAACGAUAGCUAAUACCGCAUAAGAGUAGAUGUUGCAUGACAUUUGCUUAAAAGGUGCAAUUGCAUCACUACCAGAUGGACCUGCGUUGUAUUAGCUAGUUGGUGAGGUAACGGCUCACCAAGGCGACGAUACAUAGCCGACCUGAGAGGGUGAUAGGCCACACUGAGACUGAGACACGGCCCAGACUCCUACGGGAGGCAGCAGUAGGGAAUCUUCGGCAAUGGACGGAAGUCUGACCGAGCAACGCCGCGUGAGGGAAGAAGGUUUUCGGAUCGUAAAGCUCUGUUGUAAGAGAAGAACGAGUGUGAGAGUGGAAAGUUCACACUGUGACGGUAUCUUACCAGAAAGGGACGGCUAACUACGUG